rnacentral:rRNA from 1 species
CGGGUGAGUAACGCGUGGGUGACCUGCCUUCGAGCGGGGGAUAACGUUCCGAAAGGGACGCUAAUACCGCAUGACAUCCUGUCUUUCAAGAGAUGGAGAUCAAAGCUGGGGAUCGCAAGACCUAGCACUCGAAGAGGGGCCCGCGUCCGAUUAGCUAGUUGGUGAGGUAACGGCUCACCAAGGCGACGAUCGGUAGCCGGCCUGAGAGGGCGGACGGCCACACUGGGACUGAGACGCGGCCCAGACUCCUACGGGAGGCAGCAGUGGGGAAUUGUUCGCAAUGGGCGCAAGCCUGACGACGCAACGCCGCGUGGAGGAUGAAGAUCUUCGGGUCGUAAACUCCUUUCGAUCGAGACGAAUUCCCUUGCGGUGAACAAUCGCGAGGGUUGACGGUACCGAGAGAAGAAGCCCCGGCUAACUCCGUGCCAGCAGCCGCGGUAAUACGGGGGGGGCAAGCGUUGUUCGGAAUUACUGGGCGUAAAGGGCUCGUAGGCGGCCAACUAAGUCAGACGUGAAAUCCCUCGGCUUAACCGGGGAACUGCGUCUGAUACUGGUUGGCUCGAGUUUGGGAGAGGGAUGCGGAAUUCCAGGUGUAGCGGUGAAAUGCGUAGAUAUCUGGAGGAAC